AGCGAGAAGACGUAGCAAUACGUUUGUAAAGCGGCGAACGGGUGAGGAAUACAUGGGUAACCUACCCUAGAGUGGGGAAUAACUAGCCGAAAGGUUAGCUAAUACCGCGUACGCUCCCUGGACUUCGGUUCAGGGGGGAAAGCGCUACCGAGGGUAGCGCGCUCUUGGAUGGGCUCAUGUCCUAUCAGCUUGUUGGUGAGGUAACGGCUCACCAAGGCUUCGACGGGUAGCUGGUCUGAGAGGACGAUCAGCCACACUGGCACUGCGACACGGGCCAGACUCCUACGGGAGGCAGCAGUAAGGAAUAUUGCGCAAUGGGCGAAAGCCUGACGCAGCGACGCCGCGUGGGGGAUGAAGGUCUUCGGAUUGUAAACCCCUUUCGGGAGGGAAGAUGGAGUGGGGUAACCCACUCGGACGGUACCUCCAGAAGCAGCCACGGCUAACUUCGUGCCAGCAGCCGCGGUAAUACGAAGGUGGCAAGCGUUAUUCGGAUUUACUGGGCGUACAGGGAGCGUAGGCGGUUCGGUAAGCCCUCUGUGAAAUCUUCAGGCUUAACCUGGAAAAGUCGGAGGGGACUGCCGGGCUAGAGGACGGGAGAGGAGCGCGGAAUUCCCGGUGUAGCGGUGAAAUGCGUAGAGAUCGGGAGGAAGGCCGGUGGCGAAGGCGGCGCUCUGGAACGUUUCUGACGCUGAGGCUCGAA
rnacentral:rRNA from 1 species